UUGGAGGGCAAGUCUGGUGCCAGCAGCCGCGGUAAUUCCAGCUCCAAUAGCGUAUAUUAAAGUUGUUGCAGUUAAAAAGCUCGUAGUUGAAUUUCGGGGUCAGUAGGUUGGUCAUGCCACUGGUAUGUACUGGUCUCACUGAUUCCUCCUUCCUGAUGAACUGUAAUGCCAUUAAUUUGGUGUUGCAGGGAAUCUGGACUGUUACUUUGAAAAAAUUAGAGUGUUUAAAGCAGGCUAACGCCUGAAUACAUUAGCAUGGAAUAAUGAAAUAGGACGUUCGAUCCUAUUUUGUUGGUUUCUAGGAUUGACGUAAUGAUUAAUAGGGAUAGUUGGGGGCAUUAGUAUUCAAUUGUCAGAGGUGAAAUUCUUGGAUUUAUUGAAGGCUAACUACUGCGAAAGCAUUUGCCAAGGAUGUUUUCAUUAAUCAAGAACGAAAGUUAGGGGAUCGAAGACGAUCAGAUACCGUCGUAGUCUUAACCAUAAACUAUGCCGACUAGGGAUCGGAUGAUGUUAAUUUUUUAAUGACUCAUUCGGCGCCUUACGGGAAAC
rnacentral:rRNA from 1 species